rnacentral:miRNA from 1 species
AUAUGUAUAUGUGACUGCUACU